rnacentral:rRNA from 1 species
GAUGAACGCUGGCGGCGUGCUUAACACAUGCAAGUCGGACGAUGAAGCCGGAGCUUGCUCUGGUGAAUUAGUGGCGAACGGGUGAGUAACACGUGAGUAACCUGCCCUUGACUCUGGGAUAACUGCGGGAAACUGUAGCUAAUACCGGAUACGACCCUCGGAGGCAUCUCCUGGGGGUGGAAAGAAUUUCGGUCAAGGAUGGACUCGCGGCCUAUCAGCUAGUUGGUGAGGUAAAGGCUCACCAAGGCGACGACGGGUAGCCGGCCUGAGAGGGUGACAGGCCACACUGGGACUGAGACACGGCCCAGACUCCUACGGGAGGCAGCAGUGGGGAAUAUUGCACAAUGGGCGCAAGCCUGAUGCAGCAACGCCGCGUGAGGGAUGACGGCCUUCGGGUUGUAAACCUCUUUUAGCAGGGAAGAAGCGAAAGUGACGGUACCUGCAGAAAAAGCACCGGCUAACUACGUGCCAGCAGCCGCGGUAA